rnacentral:rRNA from 1 species
AGUGAACGCUGGCGGUAGGCCUAACACAUGCAAGUCGAACGGCAGCACAGUAAGAGCUUGCUCUUACGGGUGGCGAGUGGCGGACGGGUGAGGAAUACAUCGGAAUCUACUUUUUCGUGGGGGAUAACGCAGGGAAACUUACGCUAAUACCGCAUACGACCUACGGGUGAAAGCAGGGGAUCUUCGGACCUUGCGCGAUUGAAUGAGCCGAUGUCGGAUUAGCUAGUUGGCGGGGUACAGGCCCACCAAGGCGACGAUCCGUAGCUGGUCUGAGAGGAUGAUCAGCCACACUGGAACUGAGACACGGUCCAGACUCCUACGGGGGGCAGCAGUGGGGAAUAUUGGACAAUGGGCGCAAGCCUGAUCCAGCCAUACCGCGUGGGUGAAGAAGGCCUUCGGGUUGUAAAGCCCUUUUGUUGGGAAAGAAAAGCAGCAGGUUAAUACCCCGCUGUUCUGACGGUACCCAAAGAAUAAGCACCGGCUAACUUCGUG